GCCCCAGUGGCCUAAUGGAUAAGGCACUGGCCUCCUAAGCCAGGGAGUGUGGGUUUAAGUCCCAUUUGGGGUG
rnacentral:tRNA from 1 species